CUCGGGCCCUUGCAGCACGCUUGUGGUGAGGUCAUGGGCAUGGUCAGUGCUGGACUUGGCAGCGCUGGAUUAACACUUGGACUCGCUGAUCUUGAAGGUCUGUUCCAAACUAGACGGUUUUGUGAUAGGACUGCUUAAUUAAAUAAAUGAUGCCAGAAAAUUGCUGAGUGCCUCUCUUCACACACUCCCCCCACACACACAACCACACACCUCUGUAUUCAGGAUAUGAUGCACUAGCUUGUGGGGUGUUUUGUGUGAGAUACUUCUCUGCAAGACUGUGGGAAUGAAGGAGGAAGUAAACCCUAAGAUACAUACAAAUUAGCAUAAAUCAAAAAGAAGUUAAAACCUGUUGUUUUUAAAUGAAAUGCGACCCCUUGUCUAUGGGUGAUGAAAAAGUAGAUGAAUGUUUAAGUUCCAGGUAUCAUGCCAACUGCAACUCAAAAAAGAAAGCAAUCCAAAAGUUUGUGUGUAGCUCUAGCUUUCAAGUUGACCCUAAGAAAUGGUAUGAAACUGUCAGGGGAGGUUUAGGUUGGAUAUUAGAGAAAAUUUCUUCACCCAGAGGGUGGUUGGGCAUUGGAACAGGGUUCCCAGGGAAGUUGUCACAGCAAAAGACUGACAGAGCUCAAGAAGCAUUUGGAUAAGGCUCUCAGGCAUGUGCUGUGGUUCUUGGGGCUGUCCCGUGCAGGGUCAGGAGCUGAACUUGAUGAUCCUUGUGGGUCCCUUUCAAUUCAGGAUAUUCUAUAACUUUAAAUUUGCAGUCAUCCUUACUUGAAUUCUGUGUGUAUAUGUAAAAACGCUGCUGCUUUUUUUUUUUUUCUUUUCCUUUUUCACGCAUGGAUUGUGUAGGUUUGGAUAAGCUGAUAGUGUGACAGUCUUUUCUGUCUUACUUCCUGGAUAUGCUAACUCGAUUGUUUCCAAUGGUAAUGAUAUUCUCUGAUUAUUAGGAUUUCCAAGUAGGUACUCAUCACACUUCAUCUCUAAUAUUUUAUUUUAUUUUUCAGUUGUAGUAGUGGAAAUAUUGAAGCUGCUAAAUAUGUACAGUUCAUUAAGAAAUAAGGUUUCCUCCCCCAUGAAUUCUGGAGUUUAGGAAAACUGAUACAGAUGGGUUUCUGGUCUAUGUCUGUGCUUUCCAGGGAGUAUUGUAACAUAAAUAGAAGGGUAUAAACAUCUGAUACAUAAGAAUAUUCCUGUGUCUCAUAGUAUUCCUCUAUCUUGCCAUGUCAGUGCUGUCACUACAGAAAAAAGAAUAAUCAGCACAUUUGAAACAGAGACUUGUUGAAUCUAAACAAAGUCUCAUCUCACAAUUGGAUUUCACUUUUGGACUUAGCUUCUUCAAAAGACCUCAUAAUUUGCCAGCCUUUCUAGCAUAGUUUUGUAAGCAAGGCAAUUACUGUUGUUUAAACUUAGUUUGCUGCCUAAGGAAUGUAAAAUAUCUAUUAAAAUAGUAAAGGAAUUUACAACACAAGUGGUGCACCAGGGAAGCAAGAUGAAAGUUCAGGGAAGCAGGAUAAAAAGAUUGCCCCUUUAUCAGGGCUGGUCUUUGUUUUAUGUAAAGUCUGUAAAAUACUAAACACAUUGUGGAAUACAAACCAAAGCAGUAAACACUCUUAAGAGUAUCAAGUAAAUAUGUUACUUCCUGAGCAGUAGCUGUAGUUAAUUUUCAAACAAUUAUCAUCCAUGUAAAAAAUGUGUGGGUGUGUGCCGAUGUCUGCCACUGCCCUCUUACGCAUGAAGUGUUUGACUCAGCCUGGAAUACUCUGGUGCAGCACUGAGAGGAACAGAAUUGCUGAUACACUGAAGAAUUUAUUCUUUCUUGCUACCAACUGUAAGCAGGGAAUUGCACUCUUCAGACAUCUUUACAUGAGGAGGCCUCAUUUCUUGAAAUUGUCCCAUCCUUAUGCACAGUUCAUUAGUUUCUUACACAACUUUUACUGAGUACAUGAUGAAAAGGGCAGAAAUCUCUUAAAAACACAGAUCUGAAAGAUGAGGCCCUCCAGUUACUCAAUCACCUAGAUUUCUACAAUUAUAAUGUCUAAUAAUAUUUGUUUGCAUUUUACACAUUUUUGGUGUAAUGAAUUGUACUUUUGUCACUGGGUUUCAGGCACUUUUUUUUUCCUCCAGAGUAUGUUGUUUCUUGUCACCUGGAAGCUGUUGAGUAAAGGAAGAAGCAAAGGACAAUAGGAAGAACAGCAAGAGACAAUGUCAGUAGCAGAAAGAACUGGCAUGGAGAACAUGAAGGCACAGUUACCUCAUACAUGGAAGACUUGGCAACUUGUGGCAAAAAAGACUGGAAAGAUUAGAGAAGUUUCCCCAGUGACUAUUAGUGAGUGCCUGGAAGAGUUUUUUAAUCAGUCCUGAUACACAUUCACAUACCCAGCCAUCAAGAUUGAGGUUAGUGCAUUAUAGCUGCUCUGGGAACCUUAACUCACUUGCAUUGACUUUAGGAGGUUUAAGUCAGAAGCAAUACUAUUUUAAUGCCAUUUUUUGUAUUUACUUGGCAAAUACCCUUGUCAAUUUAAAGUGUCCCAUGGGAGGUGUCAAGAGGUCAUUGAAAUUCUCCUGGGCAAAGGAGGGAGUGGCUGAAACCAUGGCCUCCAUGCUGCCUCCUUCAGUACUUUUCUUCAUGUCAGUGCUGUACUCGGUACUUUCCCCCCUGCUUCCAUUGGAAGAGGGAGUGAGCAAAUGUAAAAAUGUUAGUGAGAAAUGGAGACAAAAAACAUAGAAAAGGCCUCCCUGCUGUUUUAUUUGGCUACUUCUAGGCCUCAGUAACAGUAAACUUAGCCACAGAAAAUUAGUAUAGAAUAUAUUGUCUAGUAUGCACAAGAACUCCCAGAUGCUUUCAGUGCAUUUUUUUCCCCAGUUCAUUCUAUUAUUCUACAGUCUUCUGGCCAAAGAUCACAAAGCCUUCUGACCUCUCUGUUAUCCUAUGGCAAGAAAAUACAGUUCCCUAAGGCUGCAAAAGCAUCAAGAUUUCCAGAAAUGAGGUACCUGCAAUUUCCAUGACCAUCAGCGUAGCUGUGAGCAGCAUAUUCUUCAGAUACCACUAAGAACGGUAAAAUGCAGAAUGGGGGGAUAGGGGACACCCCACAUCUUACAGACUUGCCAGUGUUCUGAAUCUCAGCUGAAAAUACCUGUGUUGAAGUGUCAUAGAUAGCUUUAUUAAAGCUAGUAACUCUAGAAACUGAUCUGACCUGUGUCUUACCUUGGAUUAUUGUGAUCCUCUGAAAACCCCCUAUGGUUUAUUGUGUGAUAAGCCAUGAAAUUACACAAUUAGUAAAUUAUUUCAGUUACACAUUUCUCACCUUUUUAACUGCUGUAAGGUAGAAUAAAACAUUUGUGGGGAUUUUGCCAGCAAGUGAAAACAAAAAUAGUGCUAAGUAAAUACAUUACAACUUGAUUAAUGCAAGAUAAACACUAUAGGCUACACAGCUUUAGCUCCUCAGCAGGCCUAUUUCACAUUGUAUGUUCAUACAUAAAUUUCUUUUACUAACACUGCACAAGCAGUCUGGCACCAUCCUUGACAGAUGAGCUUUAGGAACUGUUACAAAGUGGUUUAAGUUAUAGCUCCAUCUGUUAUAUCCCAUCCUUCUGAUGGAGAUUGUGUUCACUGUGGCAGAAUGAGCAGAAUGGAAGAAGUGUUCAUAUCCUCACCAACUGCAGCUCCGAGUCUGGUGCCUUGGCUCACACCCAUCUUCUCAGCAGUUUCAUCAAUGACGCUCUGCUUCGUGCCCAGCUAUGAGGGUGGGCGAACAUUUCCUUCUGCUGGGCCUGAUAAUCAUCAGCAGAGGGAAAGAACAGACUAUGCUGAACUGGAGAAGCUUAACAAAUCACAGUGGGAUCUGACUCAAGCUUUCUUUAAUUUUACUGGGAGGAAGGAGGCCUUAUACAGCACUCAUCCACACUUCACUAUUGUUAUGUACAGUGAGAUACUGGGGGUUUGUGGUGGAAAGUCUGCCCAUUAUGGAUUUGAGCAAAAGAGUUACUAGAGUAUCACUGCUUGGUUAACAAAGGUUGUCGGCCAGGACUGAACUGUGUUUCCUUUUCCACCUGGCAGUGUUUGACCUCAUGGUCUGUGAAGUGAGAAUUUGCUGAAGUUUCUGGACAAAGAGGAUUGUCCAAUGUAGAGAAAGCAAUAGUGGUCGUCUGAGGAAAGGUGACAAAGCAGUAUUAAGUGAAUACAGUGAGUUAGGUUACUCAGGGCACUGUGAUCAUUAACUAAUGUACUAAAGGCCACAGUGGAACUGGAUACAGAGGUUAGUGUAAUCGAGAUUUUCCACAGCUGGAAAAAAGUGCUAUAUUACUAAGUUAAAUAUCACAUCAGAUAUUUUAGUGCUAUUGAAAUAAUUCUCAUAUAUGUAACAAUAAAUACAGGUUUACUAAAUAAGGCUUUAAACUACUGACUAUUAAAAAAGUAUACUCAUAUUUCUAAUAAUUAAAAGACAUAAAAGUAUGCCAAAUGUUAUGUCCAAAUAUAUGCUUUUGAGCUCAACUGCCAUAGACUUAAUCUUUUAGGUUCCUCUUACAAUGUUUAAAGAAGAGGAUUAAAAUACUCCAAAUGGCUCUGUAAGUUAUCAAAAUUAAGGUCAGUGGGAAAGGCUCAAUUCAAUGUGCUAUAAUUAUGGCAGAUUAUUGCAUUUUAUUUCUAUCUUUCAGACAUCUUUAUCAAGAAUUGUUACAGAUUCCCAGAAUAACAGAUUGGAAAAGACCUCUUGAGAUCAUAGACUCCAACCUUUUACUGAAUAUCACCAUGUCAGCUAGGCCAUGGCAGUAACUGUCAUGUCCAGUCUUCUCUUAAACACUUCCUUACAAAGAAAGAAACAGAAUUUAGAGGAAAUAUAACAGCAACAGCAGUUUAUAAAAAUCAGUUUUAAGGGGGGCUCAAGUCAGUAGAGCUCCACAAUAGACAGAACUGUGUCUCAUCAUUAAUGCACCUCAGGUUUUCUGUCCUUUCUCUAUCCACACCAAAUCAAUCCCUUCAGAAAAAGGCUACAUACCUUAGUUUUACAAAACUUCUCUGACAGCAUUCAGAAUAAUUGUAGCAGCAAUAAAACAAACAACAAUAAGAACAUUUGACUGCUGAUGGGGAAGGCAAUAGGAGGAAAUUAUGGCAUCCCUGAAGUAUUGCUUGAGAUUUAAAAUUUUUCAAGAGAGAUAGAACCACAGUCUUUUAGCCUACAAUUUGAAUUUAGGGAAGUUUUAUUCUACAUAAAGAACACAGCCAAAAUGCAUACUUCAUCCCUUCCCCUAGGGGAGACAUUACUGUCAGGACUGUGUGCAGGAUACAGCAAAAGUUAGGGAAUGUCAAAGACCCAAUUGGUUCUCUUCUCCUCAGAGCAUGUCUGUAUCAGCUCAAGCCACAGUCCUAUUUAAACCUGAACUGUAUUUUUUCCUGGCUGACUUCAGUCCCUAAGGGAACAUCCAUCAGCCAAGCAGAAGUGAAUCACGCAACGCCCCAGUCUCGCACUUGAUACAGCCAACCUCAGGGAUGACUUGGGAAAGAACUGUCACAGCCAUCCUGAAACUAAGCAAAUGCUGGAGUAUUCCCACUCUGCAACCUGCCCAUGGCUUUGGCUUGUGUUGUGCAGCUCAUUGAAAAAACUCUCCAAGUCUUUGGCUCUGUGAAUUCUCUAAACUGUAUUGUUAAAAGGAGAGUGAAUGGAAUUGGCAAAAUCCCAUCUUCAUUUAAAAAUGUCUUGGAAAUAAAAUCUUGAACACUGCACCACAUCAGAGAUGCUCAAGGCAAGCAAUUUAGGAGCAGCAGCUGAACUCAUACAUAUAAACACACACACACGCACAUAUAUAUAUACACACACACAUAUACGUAUAUAUAUGUGUCUCACAAGUAACUGCGAAUUAAUAUAUCUUUGUGGAAGCAGUUCAAUUAAGGCUUUAGUUGAUGAAGAAGUGUUUUCAAGACUCUUGCACAAGCCAACCAUUCUAAGUGCUACAAUUUGAAUUGAUGAACUCAUCAGCUCAGCUGGAAAACAUAUCAAUUUGAAAAUGCAUUUGAAGUGCAAAUUGCAUUAACACACAAAUUUAAUUUACAGGAAGCUCUUUAUGGAUUUUAAAACUACUACUUAAACUACACAAAUUGCUCCAUUUAAACUGCUAUGACAAAAAUGGCAAAAAAAUGUUUUAGGAAUGGUAACCAUUGAUUUCUAUUUCACGCUAAAUUUGAGUCUCCAUGGUUCAUGAAUGAACAAAUGGUAAAAUAAGACUUGAGAAAGCACACAGUUAUUUGAAAAAAAAACAUUUAAAAGGAUUAAAAAGUUAAAUUUCUAUAUUUGUCUUUGGUUUAUCACAGCUAAUAAAAUUAUGUAGAGUGCAGCCUUAUUUGAGCUUUGAUGUGGUACUUUUAGUGGAGACAGAAGUCAAAUCAGUAAUUUAGUCAGGGCAUGCUUCUACCCCAGCCUCUGGCAAAGGGGAAGAUUAUACUGAGCCCAAAUAUACAUUUCAAAUGUGCAAAAAGUGUUGUAUCUUAUUUAAAUUUGCAUCUAGUCACUUGGGGAAACUGGACAUACCCUGCCAUAAAGCUAUGAGAGCAUCCAAAGCAGGGCUACAAAGAUGGUGAAGGACUGUGAAGGGAAAUCAUAUGAGGAACAGCUCAGAGCACUUGGUCUGCUCAGCCUGGAGGAGACUGAAGGGAGACCUCACAGCAGUUACAGCUUCCUUGU